GCUCUAUACCCUUUGUGAACAUACCUAUAACUGUUGCUUCGGCGGGUAGGGUCUCCGCGACCCUCCCGGCCUCCCGCCUCCGGGCGGGUCGGCGCCCGCCGGAGGAUAACCAAACUCUGAUUUAACGACGUUUCUUCUGAGUGGUACAAGCAAAUAAUCAAAACUUUUAACAACGGAUCUCUUGGUUCUGGCAUCGAUGAAGAACGCAGCGAAAUGCGAUAAGUAAUGUGAAUUGCAGAAUUCAGUGAAUCAUCGAAUCUUUGAACGCACAUUGCGCCCGCCAGCAUUCUGGCGGGCAUGCCUGUUCGAGCGUCAUUUCAACCCUCAAGCUCUGCUUGGUGUUGGGGCCCUACAGCUGAUGUAGGCCCUCAAAGGUAGUGGCGGACCCUCCCGGAGCCUCCUUUGCGUAGUAACUUUACGUCUCGCACUGGGAUCCGGAGGGACUCUUGCCGUAAAACCCCCCAAUUUUCCAAAGGUUGACCUCGGAUCAGGUAGGAAUACCCGCUGAACUUAA
rnacentral:rRNA from 1 species